rnacentral:rRNA from 1 species
GACGAACGCUGGCGGCGUGCUUAACACAUGCAAGUCGAACGGAAAGGCCCUGCUUUUGUGGGGUGCUCGAGUGGCGAACGGGUGAGUAACACGUGAGUAACCUGCCCUUGACUUUGGGAUAACUUCAGGAAACUGGGGCUAAUACCGGAUAGGAGCUCCUGCUGCAUGGUGGGGGUUGGAAAUUUUCGGCGGUUGGGGAUGGACUCGCGGCUUAUCAGCUUGUUGGUGGGGUAGUGGCUUACCAAGGCUUUGACGGGUAGCCGGCCUGAGAGGGUGACCGGCGACAUUGGGACUGAGAUACGGCCCAGACUCCUACGGGAGGCAGCAGUGGGGAAUAUUGCACAAUGGGCGGAAGCCUGAUGAAGCAACGCCGCGUGCGGGAUGACGGCCUUCGGGUUGUAAACCGCUUUCGCCUGUGACGAAGCGUGAGUGACGGUAAUGGGUAAAGAAGCACCGGCUAACUACGUG